GACGAACGCUGGCGGCGUGCUUAACACAUGCAAGUCGAACGGAAAGGCCCUGCUUUUGUGGGGUGCUCGAGUGGCGAACGGGUGAGUAACACGUGAGUAACCUGCCCUUGACUUUGGGAUAACUUCAGGAAACUGGGGCUAAUACCGGAUAGGAGCUCCUGCUGCAUGGUGGGGGUUGGAAAGUUUCGGCGGUUGGGGAUGGACUCGCGGCUUAUCAGCUUGUUGGUGGGGUAGUGGCUUACCAAGGCUUUGACGGGUAGCCGGCCUGAGAGGGUGACCGGCCACAUUGGGACUGAGAUACGGCCCAGACGCCUACGGGAGGCAGCAGUGGGGAAUAUUGCACAAUGGGCGGAAGCCUGAUGCAGCAACGCCGCGUGCGGGAUGACGGCCUUCGGGUUGUGAACCGCGUUCGCCUGUGACGAAGCGUGAGUGACGGUAAUGGGUAAAGAAGCACCGGCUAACUACGUG
rnacentral:rRNA from 1 species